rnacentral:rRNA from 1 species
UACAGGGGGCUCGAGCGUUAGUCGGAAUCACUGGGCGUAAAGGGCGCGUAGGCGGCCUGUGCAAGUCAGUUGUAAAAUCUCCGAGCUUAACUCGGAACGGUCAACUGAUACUGCUCGGCUAGAGUGCGGAAGGGGCAACUGGAAUUCUUGGUGUAGCGGUGAAAUGCGUAGAUAUCAAGAGGAACACCUGCGGCGAAGGCGGGUUGCUGGGCCGACACUGACGCUGAGGCGCGAAAGCCAGGGGAGCGAACGGG